rnacentral:rRNA from 2 species
UGACGGUAUCCAACCAGAAAGCCACGGCUAACUACGUGCCAGCAGCCGCGGUAAUACGUAGGUGGCAAGCGUUGUCCGGAUUUAUUGGGCGUAAAGCGAGCGCAGGCGGUUUCUUAAGUCUGAUGUGAAAGCCUUCGGCUCAACCGAAGAAGUGCAUCGGAAACUGGGAAACUUGAGUGCAGAAGAGGACAGUGGAACUCCAUGUGUAGCGGUGAAAUGCGUAGAUAUAUGGAAGAACACCAGUGGCGAAGGCGGCUGUCUGGUCUGUAACUGACGCUGAGGCUCGAAAGCAUGGGUAGCAAACAGGAUUAGAUACCCUGGUAGUCCAUGCCGUAAACGAUGAGUGCUAGGUGUUGGAGGGUUUCCGCCCUUCAGUGCCGCAGCUAACGCAUUAAGCACUCCGCCUGGGGAGUACGACCGCAAGGUUGAAACUCAAAGGAAUUGACGGGGGCCCGCACAAGCGGUGGAGCAUGUGGUUUAAUUCGAAGCAACGCGAAGAACCUUACCAGGUCUUGACAUCCUUUGACCACUCUAGAGAUAGAGCUUUCCCUUCGGGGACAAAGUGACAGGUGGUGCAUGGG